UACGAUCCCUUCGGGGUGACGAGUUAUUGACUGAGUGGCGGACGGGUGAGUAACGCGUGGGUAACCUACCUUGUACAGGGGGACAACAGUUGGAAACGACUGCUAAUACCGCAUAAGCGCACAGCAUCGCAUGAUGCAGUGUGAAAAGUUUUUUCGGUACAAGAUGGACCCGCGUCUGAUUAGCUAGUUGGUGAGGUAACGGCCCACCAAGGCGACGAUCAGUAGCCGACCUGAGAGGGUGACCGGCCACAUUGGGACUGAGACACGGCCCAAACUCCUACGGGAGGCAGCAGUGGGGAAUAUUGCACAAUGGGCGCAAGCCUGAUGCAGCGACGCCGCGUGAGCGAAGAAGUAUUUCGGUAUGUAAAGCUCUAUCAGCAGGGAAGAUAAUGACGGUACCUGACUAAGAAGCACCGGCUAAAUACGUGCCAGCAGCCGCGGUAAUACGUAUGGUGCAAGCGUUAUCCGGAUUUACUGGGUGUAAAGGGAGCGUAGGCGGUUUUACAAGUCUGAUGUGAAAGCCCGGGGCUCAACUCCGGUAUUGC
rnacentral:rRNA from 1 species